rfam:Schistosoma mattheei strain Denwood, Zambia genome assembly, scaffold: SMTD_scaffold0022274
CUGCGGUUGAUGAGUCCCAAAUAGGACGAAACGCGCGUCAUUCUGGAU